rfam:Schistosoma mansoni strain Puerto Rico chromosome 6, complete genome
AUCCAUCUGACGAGUCCCAAAUAGGAGGAGACGCGCGUCCUGGAU